rnacentral:rRNA from 1 species
GACGAACGCUGGCGGCGUGCUUAACACAUGCAAGUCGAACGGAAAGGCCUGCUUUCCCUUGUGGAUUGCGGGUACUCGAGUGGCGAACGGGUGAGUAACACGUGAGUGAUCUGCCCCCAACUUGGGUAUAAGCCUGGGAAACUGGGUCUAAUUCCCGAUAGGACUGCAGGGUGGUGCCUGUGGUGGAAAACGAUUUUCUAGUGGUUGGGGAUGAGCUCGCGGCCUAUCAGCUUGUUGGUGGGGUAAUGGCCUACCAAGGCGGCGACGGGUAGCCGGCCUGAGAGGGUGGACGGCCACAUUGGGACUGAGACACGGCCCAGACUCCUACGGGAGGCAGCAGUGGGGAAUAUUGCACAAUGGGCGGAAGCCUGAGGCAGCGACGCCGCGUGGGGGAUGACGGCCUUCGGGUUGUAAACUCCUUUCGACCGCGAGGAAGCCACCUGGUUGGAAGGGUGGUGACGGUAGUGGUAGAAGAAGCUCCGGCUAACUACGUG